AUAUUGGUCAAUGGACGCAAGUCUGAACCAGCCAUGCCGCGUGAAGGAUGAAGGUCCUCUGGAUUGUAAACUUCUUUUAUAGGGGAAGAAACCUCUUGAUUCUUCGAGAGUUGACGGUACCCUAGGAGUAAGCACCGGCUAACUCCGUUCCAGCAGCCGCGGUAAUACGGAGGGUGCAAGCGUUAUCCGGAUUCACUGGGUUUAAAGGGUGCGUAGGAGGGCAGGUAAGUCAGUGGUGAAAUCUCCGAGCUUAACUCGGAAACUGCCGUUGAUACUAUCUGUCUUGAAUACCGUGGAGGUGAGCGGAAUAUGUCAUGUAGCGGUGAAAUGCUUAGAUAUGACAUAGAACACCAAUUGCGAAGGCAGCUCGCUACACGAAUAUUGACUCUGAGGCACGAAAGCGUGGGGAUCAAACAGG
rnacentral:rRNA from 1 species